ACGGGACACCUGCAUCUGCCAACAAGACUGGAAGCAGAAAGGGACAGAGACGGCGAAGUUUGACGGUCUGGAAAGCAGAGACCAGCAGGGCUGACUGCUUGGGAGCACGAGGGACAGCUCUCCACCGACCGAAGGAGGAGAAUGCUAUUUAUUUCAGCACCAAAUAUCCGGACAGCGCCUCUCGGGAGGUCCGAGAAGAGAACCGCGAUCUGUUUCAGCACCGGGGCUCAGGACAGUUCCCAGCGGGCUCCGUUUCGUCUCCAGAACCCUGGACAGCUCCUCCAGCUUGGAAUGCACUCCCUCCACCUCCACCCAGAGCUCCCCACAACUGACCCUGCCUUCUUCUGCAAGCUCCAUUUCAUCAAGGGAAACGAUCCUUAUUGCCUCACCAUUUCCCACGUGAAGUCUGUAUUGACAUUCUCAUAGACCUGGGAUAUUGUGUCUGCAGCACACAGUCCAAUUAUUUUCAUGUUAUCUACUGACAGGUCUAUUUGUCUCCCUGUUACACUGUGAGCUCCGUGAGGGCAGAAACAAUGUUAGUAUUUUCACUGCUGUGUCCCCAGCGCCUGGUCCGGGGCCCGGCACACAGCAGGCAUAUAAUAAGCAUGUGUUGAAUCAAUAAAGGCAUCAAAGAAUAAACCAAUACAUCAAUCAAUAAAUGAAUGAAUGGCCUCAGCA
rnacentral:sRNA from 1 species